AAGACUAUACUUUCAGGGAUCAUUUCGAUAGUUUCUGACUUGAGAAAUGUGUUUGUAAAAUGUUUAGUCUCACUAACCAUGACAAUGAUUUGAGUUUUUCUCUUCUGAGCAUGAAGCUGAUAAAGAGUAAUCAUAUGUUCUGUCAUUGAUGAUUAUUCUGUACUUUACCAUAGAGUACUGAGGAAGAGAAUAUGAUCAGAGUGGU
rnacentral:snoRNA from 1 species